GACGAACCGAGCGAACGUUGUUCGGAAUCACUGGGCUUAAAGGGCGCGUAGGCGGGUGCUCAAGUCCGGGGUGAAAUCCUCCAGCUCAACUGGAGAACUGCCUCGGAUACUGGGCGCCUCGAGUGUGGUAGGGGUGUGCGGAACUAUCGGUGGAGCGGUGAAAUGCGUUGAUAUCGAUAGGAACUCCGGUGGCGAAGGCGGCACACUGGACCACAACUGACGCUGAGGCGCGAAAGCCAGGGGAGCAAACGGG
rnacentral:rRNA from 1 species